GUAGCCAAAGUGUACCACCUCUUCACACCAAGUCCGGUAGUAACCAGGGAGCUAAUUUUAGGAAUGGCAGGAAGAGGCAAACGCUAUUUUAAAAUAUCGUCUUAAAAAUAGUAUGUGUGUAUUGUUCAUAGGCCGAGUCAUAUGCUGAAUGUUCUGAGACAUUCUUGUCGACCUGCACAUUCACUUCCCUCCCCCGGUUGUCCAGCUGAGAGCUGCUUUGAGAUGAUUAAUGUCCUGGUCACCUCCCACUCCUCCUUUAGUCUCACCAUUACAUUCAAUCAGCCAGAAAUAAAGCCAACAAGUCCUGUGACAUCACUACGUGCAGCUACGUGACAUCACAGAGAGCACAGGCUCCCGGUCCCUGCUGCUCACAGCUGCUUCCUGGUUCCUGCAGGGUUGACACAUCACAGGAAACUGGGACAGGCUGCUCCAUCUCCCAUCUUGCCUUGACCGUGAACCAUGCAUACCCCUUGCCUCACUCUGCUGAUUACUAUGACAUUUUAGCAGAUUUCUACGAAUUUGCUGCAGAAAAUGUUUGCAAUUGUUCCAACCUGUGUGCACCCGCGACCCAAGCCAACUUUAAAGAUUUUACCAACCUUUGUACCCUACUGACCUCUGUGAUCCUUUGGUGUUACAGUUAAUUCGGGGAAGGUCCGCAACAUCAUUGGAAAUCAGUAAAUAUUACCACUUGUCCUGCAGUAGCACAAAAAGCUUAUCAUUUCUACACAGGGUUUAUUUAGUAAACACAGAACAUUUUGGCAAUAAAUGC